GCGUCGAAACCACGACGAGCGAGCUACUCGACGUCUCGGGGUAAGACGUCGACCGGAUACCUCGCCUGAGGCCGGACCCUCGUCUCGCGCUCGAAUUGUUCUAACGCCUGAGCUCGUCGAUCUCGUGAGCGACGAAUCGAUGAGCUCACUUCGCGAGGAAAAAGAGCAGGAAGAGGAAGAAGAGAGGACUUAUGAAGGAGGGGAUGAGGAAGGCUACACGCAAGACGGAUGGGGAAUGGGUGACAGAGGAUACAGCCCCCCUGUGAUGUCUUACUCUCCCGAUUAGAAUUUUCAAACGGGGGAGUAAAAUAAAAAGAAGAAAAUCGAGAGUUCAAACAGGUGGUAGAGAAGAAGAGUCGGAGGAAACUUGGUCGGGCGAGGUUCCUGCGACGCGCUUUCGAAGUCGUCGGUUUCACCAGUCGAUUCCUCGCGAGAAAAGAACUU